rnacentral:rRNA from 1 species
GACGAACGCUGGCGGCGUGCCUAAUACAUGCAAGUAGAACGCACAGUUUAUACCGUAGCUUGCUACACCAUAAACUGUGAGUUGCGAACGGGUGAGUAACGCGUAGGUAACCUGCCUGGUAGCGGGGGAUAACUAUUGGAAACGAUAGCUAAUACCGCAUAAUAUUGAUUAUUGCAUGAUAAUUGAUUGAAAGAUGCUAUUGCAUCACUACCAGAUGGACCUGCGUUGUAUUAGCUAGUAGGUGAGGUAACGGCUCACCUAGGCGACGAUACAUAGCCGACCUGAGAGGGUGAUCGGCCACACUGGGACUGAGACACGGCCCAGACUCCUACGGGAGGCAGCAGUAGGGAAUCUUCGGCAAUGGACGAAAGUCUUACCGAGCAACGCCGCGUGAGUGAAGAAGGUUUUCGGAUCGUAAAGCUCUGUUGUAAGAGAAGAACGGGUGUGAGAGUGGAAAGUUCACACUGUGACGGUAGCUUACCAGAAAGGGACGGCUAACUACGUG